rnacentral:SRP_RNA from 1 species
ACCAGGCACGGUGGCGCGUGCCUGUAGUCCCAGCUACUCAGGAGGCUGAGGUGGGAGGAUCACUUGAGCCCAGGAGUUCUGGGCUGUAGUGCACUAUGCCAAUCGGGUGUCCACACUAAGUUCAACAUCAAUAUGGUGACCUCCCGGGAGUGGGGGACCACCAGGUUGCCUAAGGGAGGGGUGAACCGGCCCAGGUUGGAAAUGGAGCAGGUCAAAACUCCCGUGCUGAUCAGUAGUGGGAUCGUGCCUGUGAAUAGCCACUGCACUCCAGCCUGGGCAACAUAGUGAGACCCUGUCUCU